rnacentral:rRNA from 1 species
GUCCACACCGUAAACGUUGGGCGCUAGGUGUGGGGCCUAUUCCAUGGGUUCCGUGCCGCAGCUAACGCAUUAAGCGCCCCGCCUGGGGAGUACGGCCGCAAGGCUAAAACUCAAAGGAAUUGACGGGGGCCCGCACAAGCGGCGGAGCAUGCGGAUUAAUUCGAUGCAACGCGAAGAACCUUACCUGGGUUUGACAUACACCGGAAAGCCUUAGAGAUAAGGCCCCUUUUGUCGGUGUACAGGUGGUGCAUGGCUGUCGU